rnacentral:tRNA from 1 species
GGCCUUGUGGCUGAGCGGUAAAGCACUUGGCUUCUGAACCGGGUGUUUCCGGGUUCGAAUCCUGGUGAAGACU